rnacentral:rRNA from 1 species
AUAGAGUCAAGUGAAUAAGUGCAUCAGGUGGAUGCCUUGGCGAUGAUAGGCGACGAAGGACGUGUAAGCCUGCGAAAAGCGCGGGGGAGUUGGCAAUAAAGCUAUGAUCCCGCGGUGUCCGAAUGGGGAAACCCACCUCUUAGGAGGUAUCCUUAUCUGAAUACAUAGGAUAAGAGAAGCGAACCCGGAGAACUGAACCAUCUAAGUACCCGGAGGAAAAGAAAUCAACCGAGAUUCCGCAAGUAGUGGCGAGCGAACGCGGAGG